rnacentral:lncRNA from 1 species
UUUCAACACACGUGUUAAAAACCUAAUAGACUCGUCCACUGGAAAACGAGAUUAUCAGGUUAAUCUGUUGUCUCGCAUUCCCGUUUUUUAUCCAAAUGGACGAUAAUUUUUUUAUUAUCUAUGAAACAAGAAAAUUCCAAAUGAUUUGUUAAUAUUCAGUACUUCAACUGAUGCCUUACCCGUCCACAUUUGGACAAGUCUAAUUCUAUGAGAUGAUGCAUCUUACGGACUGAUGACAAAUAAGGGAAACGAACUUAUUGUGUAAUUGGUUUUAAACACAAGUUUCGUUCUGCA